UGAAAUUUGAGUCUUGAGAGAGGGCUGAUAUGAAGGAGAAUCAAACAAGCCACAUGGGAGCAUCUGAAGGCCUGGAGAUAAGGGCCUGUUGCAUGGCUGUGAAAAUUUGGCCUUUAAAAUAACUAGGCAUGGGCCAGAAAUCACAGCCGGCGGCUGCGACCACCCAAGGCAGGAGAUCCAGCGGGGGACUAUGGAGCUCAGUGGAGCUGCGGCCUGGGAGAAGCCCACCCAAGAGAACCAUGUAACUAGAAACCAUCACAUUCGGCUUCGUGUGAGGGAGAAGCAGGUGUUUCAUUGCACGCAGUUACUGAGAUCUGGGGUUGUUUGUUAUUGCAGCAAGGACCCACCCUAACACACGAGGUGUUAUAUGCAUUUUACAGAUUGCCAAGAUGGUACAGACAGCAGAAGUGGCAAAACAACACUUAAACUCAAACCUGCCCAACUUCAAAGUCCACGCCCUUCCCUGGGCUUCAGACUGCCGUCUUUGAUGCUAUCUUUCAUUGAGAUGUUGUUUGCAUUAAAUGGGGGAUCUUGCGGCACACGGUGGACCUUGCCCAGCACCCACUCUUCCUAGGGCCAGCCUUACUCUGUGGGGUCAGCCUUUGACCGUCUGGGCCAUGAAGGUGGCUGAUGAGGCCCCUUCGACAGCCAAGUUGGGGCACAAUCUCCUCCGGAUGUUGUUAUUCCUUCACAGUCUCAUCGCAGGCGGGGAGGAAGUCAGAGGGCUGAUUUAGAGGACAGAGAUACAAACAGAGUGAGCAGAGGAUGUUUGGCUGCAGUUGCUCCAGAGUUUCAAGGGAGAAAACACAAGCAUUGCUGAGCGGCCAUUAGGGGCUUGCACGCUCAGCUGGGCACAUGUCCACACCGAGGCAUCACGUGCGGUCUGAGCUGAGCUCUCAUCUCUGGGUUUCAGGACUUUCAGCACAGUCCUGGCCCUUCACGUUUAGUCUGGGUGAUCAGGGAUGUAAACCAGCAAUUGCAAGGUGGUGAAGCACCACCGUGGAAGGGCACCAGCCGGGCCCUGGGGUCACAGAAGUGCCCCAGGAAGUGUGGCCGUUAAGCCUGGUGAGAGGAGAGCGAGCCGGGAGGACGGUGAGAGACAGGCAUGACGGGGCGGUGAGUGUGACUGCUGCUGAGCAUGUCUGAGACGGCAGGCAGUCACCAAAGGCUUGUAAGCAGAGGCAACACCCUGACUUGUGGUUUGGAGAGAUCAUGGUGACUGCCGUGCAGGGACGGAAUGGAGGCUGCUCCAGUGACUCUGGCCGUGGGCAGUGGUGGGCGGGUGAGGGGACAGAGGAAAGUGGAUGGAGUUGCUGCCCCCACAACCCUGCUGAGAAAGUGCCCACGGGACCUGGCGGGGUGUGAGUCACACUUGGGCUGCUCUGCCUGGCUCUGCACCUAUUUCGUGAGCUGGAAGGGACAGCCUGAGCCCCGUCCCUUGGAUGGACAUCAAUGCAGGAGUAAGGCUCCCCAUUUCCGGCAUCUCGGCUUGGCAGGACCCCUCCAGGACCUCACUCCUCUGAGACGCACUGCAGACCUCACAGGUGACAGCAGCGUUUUGCUGACUCAGAGGCAACUACCACGAUGACCCUCCAGCCCGUGUCCAGACCUGGGGCAGCGACUUGGACAGGGGGCUGCAGAAGUGGGUCUGUGAGGGGGACCUGACGGGGGGCUGCAGAAGUGGGUCUGUGAGGCGGACCUGGGGGGGCAGCCCUGGGGUGGGCUCACUGGGGUUCACUCCACCUCGAAGACUUCAAUUCCAGCUCUGGCUGGUUUUGUUGGAUUAGGAACACACAGCCAGCCAAAUCUUGGUUACUAGGGUGCCAGAGAUCACGUGGAGAAAUGAAAUAAAGAGAGAACCCCCAAACGGUGGUGCUGCCAUGCAUUGGAGCCUCUCGCCCCAACAGCAUUCUUACUUUAUUUAUUUAUUUCUCAUCCACAUUUUGCUGGAAGAUUUUGCGCAUUCAUAAUGGCAAACAGAAUAUGGCGAUAAGCUUCUGUGUACACUAUCAUCAACAGCUUUCAAUUCCUAAUUAACCUUAUUUUAUCAAUAUUCCCCAUAAUCCCCCAUGCUGUUUCUUG
rnacentral:lncRNA from 10 species